rnacentral:lncRNA from 10 species
AGCUGAUGUUGUUCGUGUUGAGGGAGCUGACGUUCUAAUUUGAGGUCACUACAGGUGGACACCGAGAGAGGAGCUUAUGUUCUAGAUUGAGGGUCAUGCAGCAGAAGACUCGGGGAAGAGCUGAGGUUGUAGUUUGAGGGUCAUGCAGCUGGAGAACCAGACAGGAGCUGAUGUUCUAGAUUGAGCGUCGUGCAGCUGAAGACUUGGGGAGGAGCUGAUGUUGUUCGUUUUGAGGGUGUUUCAGCUGGAGACUCAGGGAGGAGCUGACGUUCUAGAUUGAGGGUCUUGCAGCUGCAGACCUGUAGAGGAACUGAUGUUCUAGAUUGAGGGUCACGCAGCUGAAGACUUGGGGAGAAGCUGAUGUUCUAACUUGAGGGUCGUGCAGCUGAGGACUCGGGGAGGAGCUGAUGUUGACAGCUGUGCAGCUGGAGAUCCGGCGGGGAGCUGAUGUUCCGGUUUGAGGGCCGGGGAGCUGAUGUUCCAGUUUGAUGGCCGUGCAGCUGG